CCACCCAAACUUAUCCUUGGGUUUUCACUGAUUAGUGCUUUCAAGCCUGCCUGCCUUAGUUCAUGUAGCUCCUCCUCUGGUACUGGGAUAAACACUUGUAUUACCAUUUUAAAGGCUAUCAUUACUCUUUACCUGUGAAGAGUAGAACAUGAAGAAAUCUACUUUAUUCAGAUAUUCUCCAGAUUCCUAAAGAUUAGAGAUCAUUUCUCAUUCUCCUAGGAGUACUCACUUCAGGAAGCAACCAGAUAAAA
rnacentral:lncRNA from 1 species